rnacentral:rRNA from 1 species
UACGAAGGGGGCUAGCGUUGCUCGGAAUCACUGGGCGUAAAGCGCACGUAGGCGGAUUGUUAAGUCAGGGGUGAAAUCCUGGAGCUCAACUCCAGAACUGCCUUUGAUACUGGCGAUCUCGAGUCCGGGAGAGGUGAGUGGAACUGCGAGUGUAGAGGCGAAAUUCGUAGAUAUUCGCAAGAACACCAGUGGCGAAGGCGGCUCACUGGCCCGGUACUGACGCUGAGGUGCGAAAGCGUGGGGAGCGAACAGG